UACGGAGGGGGCAAGCGUUGUCCGGAAUCACUGGGCGUAAAGGGCGCGUAGGCGGCCUGGCAAGUCGGGUGUGAAAUCCUGCGGCUUAACCGCAGGGCUGCCUUCUAAACUGUCAGGCUUGAGCACGGUAGAGGCAGAUGGAAUUCCCGGUGUAGCGGUGGAAUGCGUAGAUAUCUGGAGGAACACCGGUGGCGAAGGCGGCAUCCUGGACCAAUAUUGACGCUGAGGCGCGAAAGCCAGGGGAGCAAACGGG
rnacentral:rRNA from 1 species